rnacentral:rRNA from 1 species
UGGGGAAUAUUGGACAAUGGGGGCAACCCUGAUCCAGCCAUGCCGCGUGAAUGAAGAAGGCCUUAGGGUUGUAAAGUUCUUUCAGUCGUGACGAUGAUGACGGUAGCGACAGAAGAAGCCCCGGCUAACUCCGUGCCAGCAGCCGCGGUAAUACGGAGGGGGCAAGCGUUGUUCGGAAUUACUGGGCGUAAAGGGUGCGCAGGCGGCGUCGUUAGUCAGGUGUGAAAUCCCCGGGCUCAACCCGGGAAUGGCACUUGAUACUGCGAUGCUAGAGUUCGGAAGAGGGUAGUGGAAUUCCCAGUGUAGAGGUGAAAUUCGUAGAUAUUGGGAAGAACACCAGUGGCGAAGGCGGCUACCUGGUCCGAUACUGACGCUGAGGCACGAAAGCGUGGGGAGCAAACAGG